GAUGAACGCUAGCUACAGGCUUAACACAUGCAAGUCGAGGGGUAACGAGAGGAAAGCUUGCUUUCCUUGUCGACGACCGGCGCACGGGUGAGUAACGCGUAUCCAACCUGCCCCCAACUAAGGAAUAACCUUGCGAAAGUAAGACUAAUACCUUAUAAUUUCCUCAGAUGACAUCUGACGAGGAAUAAAGAUUUAUCGGUUGUGGAUGGGGAUGCGUCUGAUUAGCUUGUUGGCGGGGUAACGGCCCACCAAGGCAACGAUCAGUAGGGGUUCUGAGAGGAAGGUCCCCCACAUUGGAACUGAGACACGGUCCAAAAUCCUACGGGAGGCAGCAGUGAGGAAUAUUGGUCAAGGGGCGGAAGCCUGAACCAGCCAAGUAGCGUGCAGGAUGACGGCCCUAUGGGUUGUAAACUGCUUUUAUACAGGAAUAAAGUUAGCCACGUGUGGUUAUUUGUAGGUACUGUAUGAAUAAGGACCGGCUAAUUCCGUGCCAGCCGCCGCAGUAA
rnacentral:rRNA from 1 species